UUACAGGCUCUGAGACCUCAUACGGGUAAAUCUCCGACAACACUCCAUCUGCAGCUAGAAUCAUGCAGGCAAGGCUAAACGAUGAUGAUGAUGAUGAUGGUGGGGAUACGUUUUACAGGAAACAUGGAUAUCUUUCUUAUUAACAAUAGUAUCGCAAGGGAGCAUCACUGAUAGGAUGAAUUUGCGUCUUGACUUGAGAUUCGCAGGUGAUCGAUCAUCAGGGCCAGGGCCUUAAUGAGCCCGCUCCCGGAGGACCUCAAGGUCUACCUCAGUUGGGUCGGUUGCCUGGAUCUCGUAGUGGAAUCC
rnacentral:lncRNA from 1 species